AUCCAACUGACGAGUCCCAAAUGGGACGAAACGUGCGUCCUGGAU
rnacentral:hammerhead_ribozyme from 1 species